rnacentral:piRNA from 1 species
UGCUAAAUGACCGUGCUAGCCAGCAAAUU